UUUUUCUUUAAUCUUCAAGGCUGCCCACAGCAGGCAGCAACAGCAAUGUGCAGCUCCUGCAAUUGAAAGACAAUGUUUAGAUUUAGUUUGGACCAACAAAGACAAUCCUCAUAGCAAAGCAUGCACAGUUGACGGCGAGCUCCUCCAGCGCCUGCAGCACCUCCUUCACCUCCUCCUUCAGCUGGUUCUCCGUUUACAGCCGGCACAGCUCCUCCUGGGAGGGACGUGGGGUCAGAGGACGCAGCUCGGUGAAGGACCGUCUCCCCCCUGGUCAACAGAAGAGAGAGAGAGAGACAACAUCACCCGAGGAACAGACAUCAA